UUGUUGUACAUAAGGCUCUGUGGUAGGGCCUGGGGCUGCCAUGACAAAAACCCCAGUCAGUCCCUGCCCUCGAGGAGGGGGCAUUUCCCUCAGUUUCUGAAAGAAUGUGGCAUCUUCUCUCUUUCAGCCUUCAUAAGAGAGGAUACCUCUUGCUCCCUGCUCCCUCUCAUCCAUCCUCAGAUAACUCAGGGCUCUCUGGCUGUGCUCCCCCUUGCCUAUGGCCACAUUCUCCAAAGACAUCGAGGUAGCCCCUAAUGGCAUCCCCAAAGCAUUCAAAGCCAUGGAAGAUGGUCUUCAGUUCAGUAUUUGACCCAUUUUCUUCUAGCGUCAAUGACAAAUGAUGAGAAGAACUCUUGGAUCAUUUGGGCCAUUUAAACUGUUCACCAACAACUCCACCAGCAAUAUAUGACACUUCCGUCUUCUCACGUUGUCUCCAGCACCGAUUCUUCUCAAGUUCUGCCGUCUUUUCUAAUCUGACAAUCUUAUGGACUCGUCGGGCAAGAAAGGCAGCCAGACUCGGGAGUCCUGCCGUUUGCGGCUUUCUCAGUCGUUUUCUCUAAGAGCUUUAAUGUAGUUCAUGAGAACUCACCGGGGCUGAGCCUAAGUAAACUGCAAUAUAAAUUGAAAUGGUUGUUCCCAGCUCAACUCCUGCCCCGGGAUUAAACUGAAAUAUCGCUAGUGUCAUGCAGGGAUAUUGCAGAGACGUGUAAUUCUGUUAGUUCCCACCAGAAACUCACAGUGUUAUCCACAGAGUAAGUAGCCACAGAGGAUCCCCUAAGAGUUAUUAGCAAAAGCCAAGGACCCCUCGAGCCACCUGUGAGAGCGGAACAUUCAUAAAAUAGAGAACAAGGCAAAGCCCUUGCAGAUGGGGAAGAGGAGCUGGAGAAGGCCAUGGGUCCACCCCUGGACUGGCACGAUUCCAGUGGCUGACUCCUCUGUUCUGGGAAGUAAGCUGCCUUCACACUCUUUCCCAAGACCCACCACAUUCUUCGGUGAGGAGGAACAUCCUCUCUUUGCCCUGCAGUCUAGGGGGCUUCAUUUAGUGUUUCCGUACUAAUGCUCUGAAUUUCAUCUACACAUUCAUGGAAUACAGUCAUCAGCUGGGAGCUGAUUGAAUGACCUUCACCAAGAACAUCUUUCCUUCAACCUCUGGAAUUCUGGAAAGGCAGAAAUGGGAGAGUCCCAAGAAGACAUCUGCACAAUUGGGGCACAUGUGCUUAUCUCUAGCCAUAUGGGCUCUGCCACUAUGGCUAAUAUGGAUGCGUUCAGGCUCCCAAAGGGCAGACACGCUAGAAUAAUGAGAUACCUUUGCUUCUAUCUCCUUGAAAACCAGAGCUUGCCGAGCCUCUGUACCGACCAUUUGAUGGGGCUGGUCUACCAGCUUCCAGCAGCUACCAGCUUCCACCUUUUCUAACUCCAAAACUUUUGUCUAGGAAUCCUCUCUCAUCUUCUCAGAGCUGUGGUGGUCCCUCUCUGGUCAGGGCAAUGACCACCGAGUCCCUGAUCCCAGCCUUGAGAGGUUGUCAGUGGUUGGGGCUGGCACAAGAACUCAAGUAUUCCCUGCUCUUCAACUCAACAGCUUGAUGCCAUCUUUGAACCCUGGCUCUCUGGUGAGCAAUGGAGCGUCUGUCCAUGAAGAUAUUAAAGACCCUUUACAGAGA